AAUCCCAUUUCCAGGCUUAUAAUAUUAUUAUGAAGUGCCUAUAUAAGGAUCUACAACCAUUGAAAUAAAAUCAGACAUAUCUCUAAUUAACACUAAUAACAGCAAACUAAAGGUGAAGUUUGCCAGAAACAAGAUGGGAAGGAACCAUUUUCAGCAGCAACACUGUGCUGAUGGGAGCAUGUGGAUGGAGAGUCAGGGUCAGCAACAGAGCUAUGCCUUCCAAGAAGAGUCUUGGAGCCCUGAUAACAACUAUGGCCACAACCACAAGCAAUUCCCAGGCAUGCACAUGAACAUGAACAACAACAACAACAACAAAAGGCUUGGUGCUUUUGCUGCUGUGGACUCUGACUUCUCAAUGCAAAAACAUCAUCAUGGGCAUGGCAACGGCGUAGGAGCCAUGCACAUGAACAUGAACAGGCAUGGUGGCAAGUUAGGAGGCAUGUUUCAAGAAGGCAUGCACAGUGACCACCAUGGUGGCAGAAAGUUCCCUUUUGGUGGUCAUCAUCAUGGUAAUAAUAACGCCUCUCAACAUCAUUUUCCAAACCAUGGUGGGCACCAUGAGUAUUUUUCGGAGGAAUCCGAGGAGUACGAGGAGUCUUAUGCAGAGGAGCAUGUUGGUGGAGUCACGGCUAAGGUGGAUGAAAUGAGACAUGAGCGUCAUAACUGGGGUGGUGGGGAUACUCGCUAUGCCAAUCCCUAUGGCAUGAACAUGAAUCACAAACCCCACAAAUUUCAGUGGACAGCAAAGGGGGUCUAAAUCUAUAAUGAACCCACCUACACCUAUUAAUUUCCUCUGCACUUGCUUCUUCCUAUCAAAUAUCUAUCAAUAAAACAGUAAUAAAAUUAUGUGUGCUUUGUUGUUUUGUUUUCUUCUUGGAAUAAUUAAGACCACUCCAAUUGUAUUUGGACCUUUCUGAUGGUGCUUGAUGCUACUACUUGUAAUAUCUUCUUUAACUUAUUUAAGUUAUAAUAUAAAGUUGUCUUUGAUUAUGAUGAAUAAAGAAUUGAAGAUAUUAAUUAA